UUAGGAAUUUUGCGCAAUGGGGGAAACCCUGACGCAGCCACGCCGCGUGCGGGAUGAAGGCCCUCGGGUCGUAAACCGCUUUUCUCAGGGAAGAUCCAAGACGGUACCUGAGGAAUAAGCAACGGCUAACUACGUGCCAGCAGCCGCGGUAAUACGUAGGUUGCGAGCGUUGUCCGGAUUUACUGGGUGUAAAGCGCGCGCAGGCGGUCCCGAAAGUCCACCGUGAAAGCUCCCGGCUCAACUGGGAGAGGCCGAUGGAAACUUCGGGACUUGAAGGCGGGAGAGGCAGAUGGAAUUCCCGGUGUAGCGGUAAAAUGCGUAGAUACCGGGAGGAACACCAGUGGCGAAAGCGAUCUGCUGGCCCACCCUUGACGCUCAGGCGCGAAAGCUAGGGGAGCGACCGGG
rnacentral:rRNA from 1 species